GACAACAAGGAAUCAUUCUGUUCAUCCUAAGAGAGGAAAUUUAAGGAGAAACAACAUGACAUCUUCAAAUAUGCUUUCACAAAUUACAAUUAAUUAAAUCCUUUUGGAAUUAUGAAGUCCAUCCAUGUUUAGCAAGGAAUUAAACACAGAGGAACACAAGUGUGAAGAGAGUGAUCAACGUUAGGAAAAAAAAGGACGAGUUUGUGACAAGGAGCUGGACACUGGAUGCAGGAGAACAGAAGGAGAACGGCAUCGUGUUCACAUCUUGAGUCGUUGUACCUCUGAAAGCAGGAGUACAAUGAAGAGAAAUACCAGAGCCUGAGAGCAGUGAGGCUGGCUUGGGGAGGGGAACAGGAGUUCCGUCGUAAGCUGAACUUGAAGCGUCAACAGAACACCCAGGUUAAAAAGUCUAGCGCGUAUUUGGCACCCAGCUGUGUGAUCUGAAGCCUCUUCAAGCCUCUAUGUUUUAGUCUACACAAUGAGAAGUACAGCUGACUGGCUAACGACUACACGGCACUAAGAUACUGCCCGGCACCGAGCCAGCCCUUACGUGGUAACUAUUACAACUGUUGGAAAUGGGGGAGGUGAGUCAGAAGCAGGAAGAACACCUAUGAGGAAGUUCUUUCAACAGGCCAGACAACGUAUUUUAUUGACAGACCCUGUGGGUUUUACCUUCUUCACAGUGACUCUACUCUGCCCUAUCACCCCGCUUCCUUCAGACUCCCUCC